rnacentral:rRNA from 1 species
GAUGAACGCUAGCGGCAGGCUUAACACAUGCAAGUCGAGGGGCAGCACAGGUGGCAACACCGGGUGGCGACCGGCGUAAGGGUGCGUAACACGUGAGCAACAUACCCGUAUCUGGAGGAUAACCGGAGGAAACUCUGCCUAAUACUCCAUAAUAUCAUCGUACGGCAUCGUUUGGUGAUUAAAGAUUUAUCGGACACGGAUUGGCUCGCGGGACAUUAGCUUGUUGGUGGGGUAACGGCUCACCAAGGCCACGAUGUCUAGGGGUUCUGAGAGGAAGGUCCCCCACACUGGAACUGAGACACGGUCCAGACUCCUACGGGAGGCAGCAGUGAGGAAUAUUGGACAAUGGUCGGAAGACUGAUCCAGCCAUGCCGCGUGAAGGUUACGGUCCUAUGGAUUUUAAACUUCUUUUGUAUGGAAGCAAUAAGGUGCACGCGUGCAUCGAUGAGAGUACCAUACGAAUAAGCAUCGGCUAACUCCGUGCCAGCAGCCGCGGUAAUACGGAGGAUGCAAGCGUUAUCCGGAUUUAUUGGGUUUAAAGGGUGCGUAGGCGGAUUAAUAAGUCAGCGGUGAAACUCACAGGCUCAACCUGUGCCGUGCCGUUGAAACUGUUUAUCUUGAAUGCGGAUGCUGUGGGAGGAAUGUGUAGUGUAGCGGUGACAGCAUAGAUAUUACACAGAACACCGAUUGCGAAGGCAUCUCACAAAGCCGUGAUUGACGCUGAGGCACGANAGUGUGGGGAUCAAACAGGAUUAGAUACCCUGGUAGUCCACUACUGUAAACGAUGAUAACUCGCUGCCGGCGAUAUAUAGUCGGUGGCCCAGCGAAAGCGAUAAGUUAUCCACCUGGGGAGUACGACCGCAAGGUUGAAACUCAAAGGAAUUGACGGGGGCCCGCACAAGCGGAGGAACAUGUGGUUUAAUUCGAUGAUACGCGAGGAACCUUACCCGGGCUCGAACGGCAGAUGACGUAUACAGAGACGUAUAUUCUCUUCGGAGCGUCUGUCGAGGUGCUGCAUGGUUGUCGUCAGCUCGUGCCGUGAGGUGUCGGCUUAAGUGCCAUAACGAGCGCAACCCUUGUCGAUAGUUGCCAUCGGGUUAUGCCGGGGACUCUAUCGAGACUGCCUCCGUAAGGUGUGAGGAAGGGGGGGAUGACGUCAAAUCAGCACGGCCCUUACGUCCGGGGCGACACACGUGUUACAAUGGUGGUUACAGAGGGUCGCUCCCUGGUGACAGGCUGCCAAUCUCCAAAAGCCAUCUCAGUUCGGAUCGGAGUCUGCAACUCGACUCCGUGAAGUUGGAUUCGCUAGUAAUCGCACAUCAGCCACGGUGCGGUGAAUACGUUCCCGGGCCUUGUACACACCGCCCGUCAAGCCAUGGAAGUUGGGGGUGCCUGAAGUCCGUCACCGCGAGGAACGGCCUAGGGCAAAACUGAUAACUGGGGC